UGAAAUUGAAAUUUAGUUAUCUCAGCAAUACAAGCAAUUAUGUCUACCAUACUUCUGAGAUGAAUUGUGUUCAGUCUUUUUCAUAAAAAGAAUUUAUUAUCACAUCACUAUAUACUAUGCAGUAAUGAUAACCACCUGUAGAUGUUAAUCUCGAGAACAAAGGAACAUUAUCCUUUUGCAAAUAAGACGUCUCAAUGAUUAUGUGUCUUUUGUUCGACUUGGAUACGUUCAGUUACGAGUAUAUCGAUUUUUGUUCUACAAAUAUUUUUAUAUCAAGCGACACACAUGUUUUUAAGAACGUCUUUUAUCGUAAUUGGUCCACUCGUGUCAUGAUAUCGACGAAUUGCGCAAUUUAUUAGAUAAAAUUUGGACAGCAGCCAAUUAUUCUGCGAUCGGUGGAGGAAUAGUCUCAUAGUUAAGAUAGUUCCAUCAUGUUAACGAUAUUGCUAGGUAUGAUAACUUUAUUAUGAUUCGAAUAAUUUGUCAAAAACUUUGUGAAAUCUUAAUACAGGCAUACCAUUGAUAUUAUCAGUAAACGAUAAUCGUGUUUCUGAAAUAUCAAGUAUAAUUGACGUGAAACAUACCCCCGAAAACAAAGAUUUUGAUAAAUUAGACACGAGCCUCUUCGAUACGUAUCCUGUAUUGGUGCCGCCAAACUUGGUAAACAAAUCAAUCAAUUAGGCGCGUUUUCCGAAUCAUGGUAUAGGUUACAUUAUAUUCGUGUAAAUGUAAUGAUUCCGUUUAUAAGUUAUCUUUACAAUAAUCGCUCGCAUAGAUAUUACAAAUUUGUUUGAAAGACACCGCAUUGCUUGAUAAAUUGCAUGCCAACGUUAACGAUUGCAACGAUUAUGCUUGUAUGUUCUCGAAAAUAAUCGAGGAUGACUCGAUGAAAUCCGUUGAGUCCGCAAUAAAAAAUGAUACAAUGGAUAACGUCAGCCAAGCAUUCAAGCAAAGUAUACAAGAUUGUGUGGUAUGGUGGAAGUUAUUCAAACAUUUCGAUGCGAAAGCAAAUUCUCGCCAGGAACUGGGGAGGUGUCUGUUUCAAACAUUUACAUCCAAGUGUAGAGAACCUGUUUUAGAUAAAAUAAGAUUACUUUUAAUUACCAAAGAAGAAAGAUAAAAAUAUAUUAUUAUAUUUAGGGAAGGAGUAUUUGAAAUGAUAGUAAGACAAAGUGUUUCGUAACAAAAUAAAAUUUCAAUAUAUUUUCUAUAUAUAACAAAUAAUAUUAUGUUCACAUUUGCAUCAUAUUGCAUGAUUUUUUUAAUUUGAUAUCAUCUAUGUUUGUUGCAUACCCUACACAUCAUACAUUCAAUUUAAUUACAACAUUUCCAUGCAACAUGUUCUAAUAUAUACAGAUUUCAGUUCCCUCUUUGUAAACGAGAAAAAAUAAUAAAAAUUGAAUACUGUAUUUUGUAUCUAUCAUUAACAAGGAUAUGUUUGCAAGUGUACGUCUCAUGUAUAGUCUUAAUUAUUAUGAGGAAAGAAAAGUAUUUACUCUAAUGGCUUUGAAUUUAUUCACCCAAAUAGCAGGUGAAUUCAAAAUAAAUAAUAAAGAAAUGUUUUUAAAAUAUAUUAAUAUUUUUUUUUUUUUU